rnacentral:rRNA from 1 species
AUACGUAGGGUGCAAGCGUUAAUCGGAAUUACUGGGCGUAAAGCGUGCGCAGGCGGUUUUGUAAGACAGAGGUGAAAUCCCCGGGCUCAACCUGGGAACUGCCUUUGUGACUGCAAGGCUAGAGUACGGCAGAGGGGGAUGGAAUUCCGCGUGUAGCAGUGAAAUGCGUAGAUAUGUGGAGGAACACCGAUGGCGAAGGCAAUGCCCUGGGCCUGUACUGACGCUCAUGCACGAAAGCGUGGGGAGCAAACAGGAUUAGAUGCCCGGGUAGUCCGCGCCCUAAACGAUGUCAGCUGGUUGUUGGGUCUUCAUUGACUCAGUAACGAAGCUAACGCGUGAAGUUGACCGCCUGGGGAGUACGGCCGCAAGGUUGAAACUCAAAGGAAUUGACGGGG